rnacentral:rRNA from 1 species
GUCACGCCUAACGAUGUCAACUGGUUGUUGGGUCUUCACUGACUCAGUAACGAAGCUAACGCGUGAAGUUGACCGCCUGGGGAGUACGGCCGCAAGGUUGAAACUCAAAGGAAAUUGACGGGGACCCGCACAAGCGGUGGAUGAUGUGGUUUAAUUCGAUGCAACGCGAAAACCUUAACCCACCUUUGACAUGUACGGAACUCGCCAGAGAUGGCUUGGUGCUCGAAAGAGAGCCGUAACACAGGUGCUGCAUGGCUGUCGU